GCCUGGGUCAGAGCUCUGGGGAGGAACUGCUCAGUUAGGACCCAGAGGGAACCAUGGAAGUCCCAGCACAGCUUCUCUUCCUCCUGCUACUCUGGCUCCCAGAUACCACCGGAGAAACAGUGGUGACGCAGUCUCCAGCCACCCUGUCUGUGUCUCCAGGGGAAAGAGCCACUAUCUCCUGCAGGACCAGUCAGAGUGUUGGCAGCAGGUUAGCCUGGUACCAGCAGAAACCUGGGCAGGCUCCCAGGCUCCUCAUCUAUGGUGCAUCCAACAGGGCCACUGGCAUCCCAGACAGGUUCAGUGGCAGUGGGUCUGGGACAGACUUCACUCUCACCAUCAGCAGCCUGAAGCCUGAAGAUGCUGCAGUUUAUUACUGUCAGCAGGUGUGGCUCACUUUCGGCGGAGGGACCAAGGUGGAGAUCAAACGAGCUGUGGCUCCACCAUCUGUCUUCAUCUUCCCGCCAUCUGAGGAUCAGGUGAAAUCUGGAACUGUCUCUGUUGUGUGCCUGCUGAAUAACUUCUAUCCCAGAGAGGCCAGCGUAAAGUGGAAGCUGGAUGGUGCCCUCCAAUCGGGUAACUCCCAGGAGAGUGUCACAGAGCAGGACAGCAAGGACAACACCUACAGCCUGAGUAGCACCCUGACGCUGAGCAGCACAGACUACCAGAGUCACAAAGUCUAUGCCUGCGAAGUCACCCAUCAGGGCCUGAGCUCGCCCGUCACCAAGAGCUUCAACAGAGGAGAGUGUUAGAGGGAGAAGUGCCCCGGGCCCCCCACUUGCUCCUUAGCCCCAGCCUCACCCCCUCCCAUCCUUUGGCCUCUGGCCCUUUUCCCACAGGGGAGCUACCCCUAUUUCGGUCCUCGAGCUCAUCUUUCACCUCAUCCUCCUCCUCCUCCUUGGCUUUAAUUAUGCUAAUAUUGGAGGAGAAUUAAUAAAUAAAGUGAAUCUUUGCACCUGU